rnacentral:snRNA from 1 species
UUAUAUCUAUAUUUUGCUUAU